rnacentral:rRNA from 1 species
CCUACGGGUGGCAGCAGUGAGGAAUAUUGGUCAAUGGGCGAGAGCCUGAACCAGCCAAGUCGCGUGAGGGAAGAAGGUACUGAGUAUUGUAAACCUCUUUUGCCAGGGGACAAAGGCGUCCACGGGUGGCCGUAGGGGGGUACCUGGAAAAAAAGCAUCGGCUAACUCCGUGCCAGCCGCCGCGGUAAUACGGAGGAUGCGAGCGUUAUCCGGAUUUAUUUGGUUUAAAGGGUGCGCAGGCGGCCUGUCACGUCAGCGGUAAAAUGGCGGGGCUCAACCCCGGCCGGCCGUUGAAACUGGCGUGCUCGAGUUGGAGAGAAGUACGCGGAAUGCGUGGUGUAGCGGUGAAAUGCAUAGAUAUCACGAAGAACCCCGAUUGCGAAGGCAGCAUACCGGCUCCACACUGACGCUGAGGCACGAAAGCGUGGGUAUCGAACAGGAUUAGAUACCCUUGUAGUC